rnacentral:rRNA from 1 species
CACGGGGGGAGCAAGCGUUGUUCGGAAUCCCUGGGCGUAAAGGGCGCGUAGGCGGGAUGGCAAGUCAGUCGUGAAAUCUCUCGGCUCAACCGAGAAACGUCGGCUGAUACUGCCGUUCUUGAGGGAUGCAGAGGAGACUGGAAUUCCCGGUGUAGCGGUGAAAUGUGUAGAGAUCGGGAGGAACACCGGUGGCGAAGGCGGGUCUCUGGGCAUCUCCUGACGCUGAGGUGCGAGAGCGUGGGGAGCGAACCGG